UUAGGCCAUUACCUGCAGCUGAUGAGCUCCAAGAAGAGCAAAACCAGUUAGGUGCUGUAGUACUGGCCUAGCAAACA
rfam:Struthio camelus australis contig6756, whole genome shotgun sequence.